rnacentral:rRNA from 1 species
AGUGAAUAUAGGACGUCCAACUUAACUUGGAGUCCGAACUCUCACUUUCUAACCCUGUGCACUUGUUUGGGAUAGUAACUCUCGCAAGAGAGCGAACUCCUAUUCACUUAUAAACACAAAGUCUAUGAAUGUAUUAAAUUUUAUAACAAAAUAAAACUUUCAACAACGGAUCUCUUGGCUCUCGCAUCGAUGAAGAACGCAGCGAAAUGCGAUAAGUAAUGUGAAUUGCAGAAUUCAGUGAAUCAUCGAAUCUUUGAACGCACCUUGCGCUCCAUGGUAUUCCGUGGAGCAUGCCUGUUUGAGUGUCAUGAAUACUUCAACCCUCCUCUUUCUUAAUGAUUGAAGAGGUGUUUGGUUUCUGAGCGCUGCUGGCCUUUACGGUCUAGCUCGUUCGUAAUGCAUUAGCAUCCGCAAUCGAACUUCGGAUUGACUUGGCGUAAUAGACUAUUCGCUGAGGAAUUCUAGUCUUCGGAUUAGAGCCGGGUUGGGUUAAAGGAAGCUUCUAAUCAGAAUGUCUACAUUUUAAGAUUAGAUCUCAAAUCAGGUAGGACUACCCGCUGAACUUAAGCAUAUCAAUAAGCGGAGGAAAAGAAACUAACAAGGAUUCCCCUAGUAGCGGCGAGCGAAGCGGGAAGAGCUCAAAUUUAUAAUCUGGCACCUUCGGUGUCCGAGUUGUAAUCUCUAGAAAUGUUUUCCGCGUUGGACCGCACACAAGUCUGUUGGAAUACAGCGGCAUAGUGGUGAGACCCCCGUAUAUGGUGCGGACGCCCAGCGCUUUGUGAUACAUUUUCGAAGAGUCGAGUUGUUUGGGAAUGCAGCUCAAAUUGGGUGGUAAAUUCCAUCUAAAGCUAAAUAUUGGCGAGAGACCGAUAGCGAACAAGUACCGUGAGGGAAAGAUGAAAAGCACUUUGGAAAGAGAGUUAACAGUACGUGAAAUUGUUGGAAGGGAAACGCUUGAAGUCAGACUUGCUUGCCGAGCAAUCGGUUUGCAGGCCAGCAUCAGUUUUCCGGGAUGGAUAAUGGUAGAGAGAAGGUAGCAGUUUCGGCUGUGUUAUAGCUCUCUGCUGGAUACAUCUUGGGGGACUGAGGAACGCAGUGUGCCUUUGGCGGGGGUUUCGACCUCUUCACACU